rnacentral:tRNA from 1 species
GCUCCCGUGGCUUAGUGGCUAUAGCGGUCGCCUAGUAAGCGACAGGUCGAGGGUUCAAAUCCCUCUGGGGGCU